GGCAAAGGCGUAUAGACUGCUUCUUUGAUGACGAGUGGCGCACGGGUGCGUAACGCGUAUACAAUCUGCCUCUUACAGGGGGAUAGCCUUUGGAAACGAAGAAUAAUACCCCAUAGUAUGUAGAUAUCGCAUGGUAACUACAUUAAAGAUUUAUCGGUAAGAGAUGAGUAUGCGUCCUAUUAGCUAGAUGGUGUGGUAACGGCACACCAUGGCAACGAUAGGUAGGGGCCCUGAGAGGGGGAUCCCCCACGCUGGUACUGAGACACGGACCAGACUCCUACGGGAGGCAGCAGUGAGGAAUAUUGGACAAUGGGCGAGAGCCUGAUCCAGCCAUGCCGCGUGCAGGAAGACUGCCCUAUGGGUUGUAAACUGCUUUUAUACGGGAAGAAACCCACCUACGUGUAGGUGGCUGACGGUACCGUAAGAAUAAGCAUCGGCUAACUCCGUGCCAGCAGCCGCGGUAAUACGGAGGAUGCAAGCGUUAUCCGGAAUCAUUGGGUUUAAAGGGUCCGUAGGUGGACAGUUAAGUCAGAGGUGAAAUCCUGCAGCUCAACUGUAGAAUUGCCUUUGAUACUGGUUGUCUUGAAUUAUUGUGAAGUGGUUAGAAUAUGUAGUGUAGCGGUGAAAUGCAUAGAUAUUACAUAGAAUACCAAUUGCGAAGGCAGAUCACUAACAAUAUAUUGACACUGAUGGACGAAAGCGUGGGGAGCGAACGGGAUUAGAUACCCCGGUAGUCCACGCCGUAAACGAUGGUCACUAGCUGUUCGGAUUUCGGUCUGAGUGGCUAAGCGAAAGUGAUAAGUGACCCACCUGGGGAGUACGUUCGCAAGAAUGAAACUCAAAGGAAUUGACGGGGGCCCGCACAAGCGGUGGAGCAUGUGGUUUAAUUCGAUGAUACGCGAGGAACCUUACCGGGGCUUAAAUGUAGAUUGCAUUAGCUAGAGAUAGCUAUUUCUUCGGACUAUCUACAAAGUGCUGC
rnacentral:rRNA from 1 species